UGAGGAAUAUUGCUCAAUGGGCGAAAGCCUGAAGCAGCAACGCCGCGUGCGCGAUGAAGGUCUUCGGAUCGUAAAGCGCUUUUGAGAGGGACGAGAUAGGACGGUACCUCUUGAAUAAGUCACGGCUAACUACGUGCCAGCAGCCGCGGUAAAACGUAGGUGGCAAGCGUUAUCCGGAUUCACUGGGCGUAAAGCGAGUGCAGGUGGUUGCGUAAGUUGGAUGUGAAAUUUCCCGGCUUAACCGGGAAGGGUCGUUCAAUACUGCGCGACUUGAGGGCAGAAGAGGGGGGUGGAAUUGCCGGUGUAGUGGUGAAAUGCGUAGAUAUCGGCAGGAACACCUGUGGCGAAAGCGGCCCCCUGGUCUGCUCCUGACACUCAGACUCGAAAGCUAGGGUAGCGAACG
rnacentral:rRNA from 1 species